UACGUAGGGGGCAAGCGUUGUCCGGAUUUAUUGGGCGUAAAGAGCGUGUAGGCGGCCACACAGGUCCGCUGUGAAAACUCGAGGCUCAACCUCGAGCUGUCGGUGGAAACCGUUUGGCUAGAGUCCGGAAGAGGAGAGUGGAAUUCCCGGUGUAGCGGUGAAAUGCGCAGAUAUCGGGAAGAACACCCGUGGCGAAGGCGGCUCUCUGGGACGGUACUGACGCUGAGACGCGAAAGCGUGGGGAGCAAACAGG
rnacentral:rRNA from 1 species